CCCUUAGAUGUUCUGGGCUGCACGCGCGCUACACUGAUGCACUCAUCGAGUUUAUGACCUUGUCCGAGAGGAUUGGGUAAUCUUCUUAAAAUGCAUCGUGAUGGGGAUAGAUUAUUGCAAUUAUUAAUCUUCAACGAGGAAUUCCUAGUAAGCGCGAGUCAUCAGCUCGUGCUGAUUACGUCCCUGCCCUUUGUACACACCGCCCGUUGCUCCUACCGAUUGAGUGAUCCGGUGAAUAAUUCGGACUGCAGCAAUGUUUGGAUCCCGAACAUUGCAGUGGAAAGUUUAGUGAACCUUAUCACUUAGAGGAAGGAGAANUCGUANCA
rnacentral:rRNA from 1 species